GUAGGACGCGAGCGUUAUCCGGAUUCACUGGGCGUAAAGAGCGUUGAGGCGGUUCGGUAAGUUGGACGUUAAAGCCCCCGGCCCAACUGGGGGAGGUCGUUCAAUACUGCGGAACUUGAGGGCAGCAGAGGGAGGUGGAAUUCCCGGUGUAGUAGUGAAAUGCGUAGAUAUCGGGAGGAACACCAGUGGCGAAGGCGGCCUCCUGGGCUGCUCCUGACGCUGAAUGCGAAAGCUAGGGUAGCAAACGGGAUUAGAAACCCCGGGUAGUCCUAGCCGUAAACGAUGGAUGCUGGGCGUGGGGGGUAUAGACUCCCCUCCCGUGCCCGUAGCUAACGCGUUAAGCAUCCCGCCUGGGGACUACGGCCGCAAGGCUA
rnacentral:rRNA from 1 species